GGACCAUUAGCUCAGUUGGUUAGAGCAAACCGCUCAUAACGGUUAGGUCACAGGUUCGAGUCCUAUAUGGUCCA
rnacentral:tRNA from 1 species